UAAUUGAACUUUAUUCAACACUUUACUUUUCAUUGCACACCCUAAAAACACCUAUUUUGAUUGCCUUUGAUAAACACCAUAACAAUAGAUAACGAUAGAUUGACACUUGGUCUCUGUGGAUUCAACAAUCUUUUAUAUUACUCUGACGCCUUCGUAUACUUGCGAAAAACACUCAUCAGCUCUCAAGCUCUAUCCAGAUCCACAACUGAUUUCACAAGAUUCGUAUCCUAGGUCUGUAACCGAAUCAAUAAUUAUCAAGAACCCUAGGUAUCUAUGUCCAAAUUAAACACCAAUCACAUUACGACGCACUCGCUGACCUUAGGGUUACGGUCACUCAAUGUCUAUUCAACCGGCUGAUAACGAGCAAUGGAGAAAAAUGGGAAGUUCAAGAUACCUACCGGAGUAGUUUGAUGGUGAGGACGACGACGGAGUUGCCGGACUUGUGAGCUAUGAAUGAAUGGCUUGGUCGAAUUGAGUUUAUGAAAUUUCCUUGAGUUACUUGAUGCAUUGUCGAUGUUGCUUGAUGUUUCCCAACUGGUUUUCAUGUGGAUUGUGCAGAUUGCUUUGGUGGUGAGUAGAAUGGUGAGGGCUUGUGUUCAGGCCGCAUCACUUUGGCUUGUGCA